rnacentral:rRNA from 1 species
UAGGGAAUCUUCCGCAAUGGGCGAAAGCUUGACGGAGCAACGCCGCGUGAGUGAUGAAGGUCUUCGGAUCGUAAAACUCUGUUAUUAGGGAAGAACAAAUGUGUAAGUAACUAUGCACGUCUUGACGGUACCUAAUCAGAAAGCCACGGCUAACUACGUGCCAGCAGCCGCGGUAAUACGUAGGUGGCAAGCGUUAUCCGGAAUUAUUGGGCGUAAAGCGCGCGUAGGCGGUUUUUUAAGUCUGAUGUGAAAGCCCACGGCUCAACCGUGGACGGUCAUUGGAAACUGGAGAACUUGAGUGCAGAAGAGGAAAGUGGAAUUCCAUGUGUAGCGGUGAAAUGCGCAGAGAUAUGGAGGAACACCAGUGGCGAAGGCGACUUUCUGGUCUGUAACUGACGCUGAUGUGCGAAAGCGUGGGGAUCAAACAGG